rnacentral:rRNA from 1 species
GACGUAGGAGGCGAGCGUUAUCCGGAUUCACUGGGCGUAAAGCGCAUGUAGGCGGAUGUCUAAGUCGUGUGUUAAAGCCCCUGGCUCAACUGGGGGAGGUCAUGCGAGACUGGAUGACUUGAGGGCAACAGAGGCACGUGGAACUCCCGGUGUAGCGGUGGAAUGCGUAGAGAUCGGGAAGAACACCCGUGGCGAAGGCGGCGUGCUGGGUUGCAACUGACGCUG